AUUUGUUGCAAAUAGACAUUGAAAUAAAGGACAGUAGAAACAAGUGUAAUAAUCCUGUGAAGGGUAAAUAUAGCAGGCACCGGGAACGUCUCAAAGUAUGUGAAAUCGGGCCCAGUGUUCGUCUUUCAACAGGUGGUGUAUUGGGAGUUGGAUAUUGAACUGCGUAAUCAUUACAUUUGUGGAGCUGUGCAUAUUUUGGCAAAUAUUUGAUGGACCAAUCCGAGAGCGACCAGCUGCUUCUCACAAUCAGCAGGUGAACUUCUUGGUCAAGCCUGAUCUCCAGAGGAUGCUUCCAGAGAGGAUGCUUCAAGCUCAUUCACACAUGUGCAUACACAUCUGUCUCUGUCUGCCUGUCUCUCAGUCUGGUGUUGAUGAAAAUACACUUUAUCCACACUCCCAUUCUUGUUGAGGGCCUGAGUAAUGCAGAAGCAUUUCCACAGUUUUUAAAUGUGUGAAACACUGAUUGAUAAGACUUUAAACCCAUCUCAAAAUGGAUCAGAUCAUGACAUGCAGGACUGGAAACACCAGGAGACAUACAGACAAUGUCAGUGUGAUAUAGACCAGUACUACUCUUCAAAGUGAUACAGAUUGGCAGAACAACAGAAAACUCACUCACAUGCAGCCAGUUAAUGGUUAAAAGGGAUAAAAAUGCAAUUUAGGCCCACAACUACUUCCAGAUAUGGACAGUCAUAAAUUGACUGACCAAAUUAUUAAAUGCUUCAGAAGACGUUAGUUUUAGAUGUUACUUUAUUGCGGUGCCCAGCAGCAACUGCCAAAGACUAGUGCAUACACAAAAUGUAAAAUCAAAACUGAUUCAAAGAUAAGUAUUGAACCAACAUUAAUCCCUCAAUCACCAGAUUUAGCGAACAUUGGACUGGUUUAUCCUACACCCUGACUGAAAAAACACAACUGAACAUAGAAAGAGAAUAGCAUACAAAUAUUCGACUUGUCACUGCACACAGAGCAAAACUGGUACUAUAGGUAUUCAAAGGCUGAUAACUGCAGAACUAAUCUCAAAUUGCCAUUUACACCGAGACACUGAUAGUGAGUGGAUGAAGUUCAGAAUCCCAAACAGUUAAUGGAAACUAGUAUGGAGAACAGAUGAAGAAUAGACACAACACGCUGAAUGGCUGUACCAAUUCUGUGAUUGAGUCAUAAAUCACAAAAUGCCUAAGAGUUUAAGGCACAAUCACAACACCUUAAGACCUGCUAUCACAGAUUGGAUCACAGUCACAGAGAACUUUUUUUUUCCCGAAUUCAGUCAUGGGAUGGGGGCAUCAGUGGCUCGGCCAGCAUUUAUUGCCCAACCCUAACUACCCAUGCAGUACUUAGGAGUCGACCACAUUGAUGUGUGUCUGCAGUCACAUGUAGGCCAGACAAGGUAAGGAUGGCAGUUUCCUUCCUUCAAGCGCAUUCGUGAAUCAGAUGAAUUUUUCUGGUAAUCAACAAUAGAUUCUAGAAUAUUAUUGGUUGCCAGAGAAUUGAGCAAAUUUGAUAUAAGAGUUGAAAGUGACUGGAACUCAUUGAGAACUUCACUCUCAGUGACACAGCAGAAACUGGCAUGUAUAGAUCAAUUCCUAAAUUCACACAUGGACACAGCAGAAAUUGACAUUUAUACAUCAAGUCCUAAACUCUCGUAUGGACACAACCAAAACUGACAGACAUCGAUUGAUAUCUGCUCUCAUGUAUUCACAUUGCAGAAACUGAAAGGGAGAGAACAAUAAUCAUGCACACACACAUGACAGGUACAGGUUAAUAACGAGACUAACAGAUUUGCACAGCAAAACCUGACAGGUACAGGAUGAUAAAUGAAUUUGCAUAUUUAUAAAUAAGAAGCUGAUGGAUACAGUUUAUUAACUGCACUCUCAGAUGCACAGAGCAGAAUCUGACAGGGACAGGUUGGUAAAUAACUCACAUGCAGGUGGCAGUAAAUUUCAGAGAAAGAUUGAUAACUACAUUCUCAUAUUCACAAAGCAGAAACUGACAGGAAUAGAUUGAUUAUGCUCCCAAUUUCAAGUCACAUAAGUUGAUGUGUACACUUUGAUAACUAUAUUCACAGAGAAGAAACUCCCAGCGAGAGAUUGAUUACAAAACAAAAAUUGGUGGAAAAUUCACAGGUCUGGCAGCAUUUCAGGUCCAGUGACUGGUCCUCAGAACUGGCAGUGGCAAGGAAAAUGCACACAAUGUGGUCUCCUCUAUGUUGGAGAAACUGAACGCAGAACGGGUGUCCACUUUUCAGAACGCCUACAUUCUAUCCAGACAAAAAGACCCUGAGCUUCCUGUUGCAUGUCACUUCAACACACCACCCUGUACCCUGGCCAACAUCUCGGUCUCAGGCUUGCUGUAGUGCUCUAGUGAAGCUCAGUACACGCUUGAAGAACAGCACCUUAUUUGUUGCUUGGGAACUCGAUAGUCUUCUGGACUCAGUAUUGUGUUCUACAACUUUAAGACUUGAGCUCUCCAUGUCAUUACCCAAAACCCCACACCCCUUGUUAACACACAGUCUGCUGCUGUACAUCACCAAUUGUGAGCCACUAACAGACCUUAUUAAAUAGCUAUCCACCCUCUUAGUCUGACAGUUAUCCACUCAUUUGUCUGUCCUAGUGUUCUUCUCUUUCUUUGGAUUCUAUCUCCAUCUGUCUUUUUCUCGGCACACUUCCACCCACCCUAUCUUUUGUAUAUAAAGUAAUAUUUUCCUAGCUACCACCAGAAAAUAAAGAAGUUUGAAUACAC